AUCCAAUGGAGAGUUUGAUCCUGGCUCAGGAUAAACGCUGGCGGCGUGCCUUACGCAUGCAAGUCGAACGAAGCCCCUCGCUUCGGUGAGGGAGACUGAGUGGCAAACGGCUGAGUAACGCGUAGGUGAUCUGUCCCGAGGAGGGGAACAACCCGUGGAAACGCGGGCUAAUGCCCCAUACGCCCACCGGAUCGGACCGGUGGGGAAAUGUUCCGGCGCCUUGGGAGGAGCCUGCGUCCGAUUAGCUGGUUGGUGGGGUAACGGCCUACCAAGGCGACGAUCGGUAGCUGGUCUGAGAGGAUGAUCAGCCAGACUGGGACUGAGACACGGCCCAGACUCCUACGGGAGGCAGCAGCGAGGAAUCUUGCGCAAUGGGCGAAAGCCUGACGCAGCAACGCCGCGUGGGUGAUGAAGGCCUUCGGGUUGUAAAUCCCUUUUGCCGGGGAAGAACUUUGACGGUACCCGGCGAAUAAGCCACGGCUAACUACGUGCCAGCAGCCGCGGUAAGACGUAGGUGGCAAGCGUUAUCCGGAUUUACUGGGCGUAAAGCGUACGUAGGCGGCGCCGAAAGUCUGCCGUGAAAUCUCCCGGCUCAACCGGGAGCGGUCGGUGGAAACUUCGAUGCUCGAGGGGCGUAGAGGCAAGCGGAAUUCCCGGAGUAGUGGUGGAAUGCGUAGAUACCGGGAGGAACACCAGUGGCGCAAGCGGCUUGCCAGGCGCAUCCUGACGCUGAGGUACGAAAGCGUGGGUAGCGAACCGGAUUAGAUACCCGGGUAGUCCACGCCGUAAACGAUGGAUGCUAGUCGUGGGGGGUAUCGACCCCCUCUGUGACGCAGCUAACGCAAUAAGCAUCCCGCCUGGGGAGUACGGCCGCAAGGCUAAAACUCAAAGGAAUUGACGGGGGCC
rnacentral:rRNA from 1 species